rnacentral:rRNA from 1 species
UACGAAGGGAGCUAGCGUUGCUCGGAAUCACUGGGCGUAAAGCGCACGUAGGCGGAUUGCUAAGUCAGGGGUGAAAUCCUGGAGCUCAACUCCAGAACUGCCUUUGAUACUGGCGACCUUGAGUCCGGGAGAGGUGAGUGGAACUGCGAGUGUAGAGGUGAAAUUCGUAGAUAUUCGCAAGAACACCAGUGGCGAAGGCGGCUCACUGGCCCGGUACUGACGCUGAGGUGCGAAAGCGUGGGGAGCAAACAGG